CGCGGCCACCUCACUCUUGCCAGCGCGCCUUCCUCUCGCUGUGGGGGUGACGUGAGCGCAGU
rnacentral:pre_miRNA from 1 species